UGCGUAGGCGGGAAAAUAAGUCAGUGGUGAAAGCACCGGGCUCAACUCGGUAACUGCCAUUGAUACUGUUUUUCUUGAAUGCGAUUGAGGUAAGCGGAAUGUUGCAUGUAGCGGUGAAAUGCUUAGAUAUGUUACAGAACACCAAUUGUGAAGACAGCUUACUAAGUCGUGAUUGACGCUGAGGCACGAAAGCGUGGGGAGCAAACAGGAUUAGAUACCCUGGUAGUCCACGCCCUAAACGAUGAUUACUCGACAUUGGCGAUAUACAGAUCAGUGUCUGAGCGAAAGCGUUAAGUAAUCCACCUGGGGAGUACGCUCGCAAGAGUGAA
rnacentral:rRNA from 1 species